CCCCGACAACAAAAGCUGAUAAACUGCGCUUCCUCUCAGAUUCCAAGCUCUGAUCCGGCGCAACAAGCAUGAGGCAGGGUGCCUGGUUCGUGGUGCUGCUUUUCAGCUGUAGAAGUGUGGCUCAGACCCUGACCCAGCCCAAAGCAUCGAUGACGAAGCCUGUCGGGAAAGCUGUGCUAGUUCGGUGUCUAAUGAAUGGAGGCUCCGUAAACAGCUAUUAUCCCCUUCACUGGUACCAACAGAAACCCGGCAAGCCGCUCGAAAGGAUACUCUACUAUGGAGAUAGCGUAACGCGGGAUUCGGGAUUCGGGACAUCCUUCAAUGCGGGAAAAACAUCAGAUUCCGAAUUCUAUCUCUCAAUCGAAGUUGACGCCGAAAGUGCUGCCACCUAUUACUGCGCCUACUGGAAGAAGGUCAUCGAGCUGCAGCUCCAGUUCCCCAACGCGGUCAUUAAGGAGCUGCAGCUCGAUGCACCUGACGCAUAUGUGGCCGUUCGGGAGGCUGGGAUUCUCCAGGACUUCCCAUAA